rnacentral:tRNA from 1 species
GGGAGCGGAUGCAUUCCUGGUGGAUGCCCUGGUCUUCAAAACCAUGGUGGGGCGCGAGUCCCAGGUCGGUUCGAUUCCGAUGCGCUCCCGCCA